ACAAAAUUUAAAUUGGUAAUAGUGUUGUUCCAUUGCUGAGACUUCGCCAGCAUUCUGCAACAGUUAGAUGAAAUCGAUUCAAACGGAAAUAUGCACAGAAGUCGUCAACCUUUAUAAAAGAGCAGCCCAAACCGGCCUUCAAAGCAAUUUAAAAAUUUACUGUGAUCUUGCAGAAAGAAGAGAAAAACUUCUAAAUCAACUUUACCCUUCGCAAAAAGAAAAGAAACCGGCAGUCAUGAAUGAUGGGAAAAGUCUUUGAUUAAAUGGAAAAAGAUGUCCGGCUAAUCAACUCCGAUGGCUAUUAGCAACCCCGCCCAUUUUUCAAGUUUCCAUCCAGUGGGGAGAGGAGUCACGCCCACUUUAAAAGCAAUUGGUUUAGAGAGAAAGACGUCGUUGAUUAGGGCGUGGGCGAUGCGCUAUGCGGUGGUGGAAUGCGGCAUUCUUUGAGACUGGGAGUCGCCGGAGAAGUUUCUUCUGCAUCUCGGCUCUUCUGCAGCCAAUUCUUCAUAUUUUGUUUCUUUUAAGAUUCGUUGUAAGGAUCAGAGAAGCGAAAAGACCAUCGCUGAUUUUAGGAAAUAUGAAAGUACUUUUAAAACAA